rnacentral:rRNA from 1 species
GACGAACGCUGGCGGCGUGCUUAACACAUGCAAGUCGAACGGAAAGGCCCUGCUUUUGUGGGGUGCUCGAGUGGCGAACGGGUGAGUAACACGUGAGUAACCUGCCCUUGACUUUGGGAUAACUUCAGGAAACUGGGGCUAAUACCGGAUAGGAGCUCCUGCUGCAUGGUGGGGGUUGGAAAGUUUCGGCGGUUGGGGAUGGACUCGCGGCUUAUCAGCUUGUUGGUGGGGUAGUGGCUUACCAAGGCUUUGACGGGUAGCCGGCCUGAGAGGGUGACCGGCCACAUUGAGACUGCGAUACGGCCCAGACUCCUACGGGAGGCAGCAGUGGGGAAUAUUGCACAAUGGGCGGAAGCCUGAUGCAGCAACGCCGCGUGCGGGAUGACGGCCUUCGGGUUGUAAACCGCUUUCGCCUGUGACGAAGCGUGAGUGACGGUAAUGGGUAAAGAAGCACCGGCUAACUACGUG